AUGAACGCUGGCGGCGUGCCAAAUACAUGCCAGUCGAGCGAACAGACGAGGAGCUUGCUCCUCUGACGUUAGCGGCGGACGGGUGAGUAACACGUGGAUAACCUACCUAUAAGACUGGGAUAACUUCGGGAAACCGGGGCUAAUACCGGAUAAUAUAUUGAACCGCAUGGUUCAAUAGUGAAAGACGGUUUUGCUGUCACUUAUAGAUGGAUCCGCGCCGCAUUAGCUAGUUGGUAAGGUAACGGCUUACCAAGGCAACGAUGCGUAGCCGACCUGAGAGGGUGAUCGGCCACACUGGAACUGAGACACGGUCCAGACUCCUACGGGAGGCAGCAGUAGGGAAUCUUCCGCAAUGGGCGAAAGCCUGACGGAGCAACGCCGCGUGAGUGAUGAAGGUCUUCGGAUCGUAAAACUCUGUUAUUAGGGAAGAACAAAUGUGUAAGUAACUAUGCACGUCUUGACGGUACCUAAUCAGAAAGCCACGGCUAACUACGUG
rnacentral:rRNA from 1 species